GCAAAAAGAGCCAAGAACCUUGUUCUGAUCUGGUUAAUCUUCGAUCUUGUACACGAGCUAGUUUCUCCAAGGAAUCCAGUAGCAUGGCAUUCAUCAAUCAUUACUAAAGCACCAUACUUAUCUGCCAAGUCRCAUACUUCACUGAAGGAAACAUGAAACAGUCUAGUUAGAGUCUUAUUCCAUCAAUCAUGGAAGCAUGGUUUAAUGCAUCACUAAACACAGCAUCUUCAGGACUUARAAUAGUCUCAAAUAAACCAGUGUUUGCAUCAAAACAACAUGCAUAUAGAAUGGCAUCUUCUGUUUUGUGAAAUCUGGAAAUCUUGUCCUCUAGUUCUUUGUGGAUAUCCUAUAAUGAUAACACACCAUAAAAUAAAUAUCUUAUUUAGACUUUA